AUGAAAAAUAAGAUAGGAAGAAUAUUAGAAUUAAUCCCUUUUGUGAAGGGCUGUGCUACUGGUAUGCAGCUUUCACUCUCCCAGAGCGAUUUCGACAAAAGUCUUAAGAGGCGUCUGCUAAAUUUCACCAGAAGCGAUCAUCACCAUUUCUGUAACCGAGGACUCGCAAACGGAGGAAGUAGAGGAUUCUUUCACAUUGCGAAGUGUAUCUCAGUAGCCUUCUGGGCACAAUAACCAGCAACUUUCCACCGUCUGUCAAGGUAUGAAAUGUAAAGUCCUUAUGUGGCAUCAUAUGCUACAUACGUGAUUCUGAUCCU
rnacentral:lncRNA from 1 species